rnacentral:rRNA from 1 species
UACGGGGGGGGCAAGCGUUGUUCGGAAUUACUGGGCGUAAAGGGCUCGUAGGCGGCCAACUAAGUCCGACGUGAAAUCCCCAGGCUUAACCUGGGAACUGCGUCGGAUACUGGAUGGCUUGAAUUCGGGAGAGGGAUGCAGAAUUCCAGGUGUAGCGGUGAAAUGCGUAGAGAUGUGGAGGAAUACCGAUGGCGAAGGCAGCCCCCUGGGAUAACACUGACGCUCAUGCACGAAAGCGUGGGGAGCAAACAGG